GGGAAGGUAGCUUAAUUGGUUAAAGCAUUCGGCUCAUAUCCGAAAGAGUGCGGGUUCGAAUCCCGCCCUUGCUA